UUGUCCUACAGGAAUGAAAAAAAAAAAUAGAAUUAAGUAGCAAAUGCCAAAUCAUUGGAGAUGUUCUCAUUUUACAGAACAUGGAUUAACACAGCCCUGUUUGAAAUGAUUUUGUGGUCUCUGUGCACUAACCCUGUGUAAUAACUACAGCUAUUAUUAGAAAGCUGUAGAGAAAGGACUAUUUUCUUCUACUGGGCUAUUAUCCUUUAAGAAAAUGGGGAUUCAAGAAAGAGGGAGACACCACCUGGUCUUUGACUAACAACGGCAUAAUAUAAUGAAAAAAUAGAACGUCUUUUAAUAUCUUGGCAUACCAUGUAUUUUCUUGGAGCCCAUUUAAAUGUCUGAAUCUGAAAAAUGCAUCUGUUUGGGUUUUUUAUAAUGAAGUCUUGUUCUUGACAGUGUUGUGUUUCUUGGCAGGGGGAGCUGUAAAAUCUUCAACUUGGUGAAGAUGUUAAAAAAGAAUUAUUAACUGAAGUGGUGGACAGAUGGACACAGGAUUAAUGUUCUCAUCCCAUUCAAUGCAGACUUUGCCUGUGGCCUCGCUAAGACUAGCACUGAAAUACGCUCUUUCUCCUACUAAGAUGGAAAUCUUAACACUGAUUUAGCUCCAUAUGGAGAUUUUGGGAGGGUAAGCAUGGAUUAAGUUGCUUUAAAAAGUGUAUUUACGAUGAUUAGUUUUAUUAAUUUUACUUCACACAACUGGAGUGAAUACUAAGUAACCUGGCUGCGAAUCUUUGUUAAAGCAGAAACUACUCAGUUGAGUAUGUGUGAGUUAGGUAGUUUCAAUAUACUUAGUUCAUGUAGGCAAGUGUUUUGAGAAAGACAGAUGUGGGAGUCAUUAGAUGGUUUGAAAGUUUCCAGGGACUAUACUGCAUCUGUUGAAAUAAAUUUCAGAUUACUCUUGGUAAACCACAUUCAGGCUUCUCCCCUCCAUGCCAGUGAUGCCCUGCCAAUAUUUUAAUACUAAUGCAGGAUGUGCCUGCUUGCCCAGGUUGAGAGGGAAAAAAAAUCUACUUGUCAAAUUGCAACUGAUUAAAAACUCACACAAGUACUCUGGGCACUCAGCAACAACCAUAGAAACUUCUCUUUAACUAAAAAUACCCCACAUUAAAAAAAAAAGUAGGAAAACAAACAGAAACAGCGGCUAUUUAAAACCACUUUGAAAAAUCAAGGGUUUUUUUUUUUUAAUUUAGGAAAGAUGAAAUUCAUUGAUUUGUGGUUUGUGAAAAAAUGAUAAAGUACAAUGCCUUUUUUAAAAAUUAAUAUAUGCAAUAAAGAACAAAGUCAAAAGUACCUUGUGCUCUGGCUAACAGGGAUGGUGUUACAUCUGACUUUCAUACUGUGUUUUACCUCCAGCACUGGCCUUUCCCCAAAACCAGUGGAUGAACACACACCCCCCCCCACCAGACUGAAAUUCAGAGGGAUGCCAUCAAAGCUGACAGGACCAAACCAAAUGAGUAGAGGCCUUUGCCUCAUGUCCUACAAGUAGAGCAGGGAGGAUACUUCAGCUUGCAAGAAGGGGGUAACUGUACUAUGUACAAAGGGCUAUUGUGUCCUUGCUAGGAGGAGGUGGGCUUGCAAGAACUGCCAGGCACCCUUUGGGGUGGUGCAGGCACGCAUCUGCACCUUGCCAGCUCCUCCUGUCCUAAUAAAAGCUUGACGGAGUGGCACUACUCAAAAUCAGGACACAGUGACCGUGCAAUGGCCACCCUGCCUGACGUGGGACCUUGAAUGAAAGGGGUGUGUGGUUUUCUUUGCAGUAUAGCUGGGCAUGGGGGCCAGCCAAGCUAUUACAAAGCCGAAGUCGGAAUACUAGAAGCUUUAAUACGAUAGCUGGUACAAGAAGAAAGGAAACAGCUUCAGCACUAAAAGCUUGCUAUGAAAAACACUCCAGCCUUUCCAGAAAGCUGGUGGUCUUUCUUACAGAAAUAUCACAGGCAGGCACUUUUUGAGUGAAGCAUUAUUGGUGCUUUUAUUUAGAGAGUCUGGUUAUUAGGAAAGAAGAGUGUCUUUUAAGAAUAUGGACAGAGUUACCACUCUGGAAAAAAUUCUGGCUGACUCAGCUAUAUAUAAAGGCCUAUUAAUUUAUCAUCUCAAGCUUAUGCUGAUUUAAGGUCAAAGCCUGUUAGUCUUAUGGAUUCAAUGGAAACAAGCUCAAGACUUCAAGGGGUAACAGUUGUGUGCAUCCCAGAGAGGAACUUACAAGAGAAAUACAUAAAUUCCUCUUCACACCAAUAUUGAGAAACCACAAGCACUAUUGUAGAGACAUUUCUAACAUCUGAAAACAGCAGAGUAAUUUUUUUCCUUCUGCAUGAAAGCCAGCCUGAAGAUUAUUUGCAGAAGGAGAAACUCCUCUAUAAGAUAAUUGGUCUUGACAGUUCAGGGGGAUUGGUAAUGAGACACAGAGCCUUUCAUUUCUUAUAGGUCACUGCUAUAACUAUGGCCAAUGUCAAGAGCAACUGGAAGUCAUUAUCAGCUGGUGGCUGUGGUAGUUUAUCUGAGAUUAGUUGGUAGCUCCAGUGCAGCUUCAGCAGGACUGACACCAUAGGAUAAAAGCCACUAUCACAAUGCCAUGUCUUCGGUUGUCUGAGGGAAUAUUCUGUGCACCUCCUGUGUGACAAGUGAAGUGACUCUUACAGUUUGUCCCUGAAGCUGUCAGGAGACUAUGAGCAAACCCCUGUCUUCUGGGCACAGUUUUUGAUGCUGUCAGUCUAGCAUCUAUCAUAAUCACUAGGCUCAGGGUAGAAUUACCAUAUAAUGAAAUUGAUUUUGCACAAUUGUUUCUUUUUAAAGACCUACUAAAUCAGGCCUCUGUUGGAUACUUCUGCUCUACAAAUAGCAGCAGUGGGCCUGUGGCACAUAAACUGAAUCAUACCUUAUCAGAACCAAUGCACUACCUGUCAGCCCAGAAUGAUGCUACAUUGAAAACCAGAGGCGUAUUCCUUCACUAAGAGGAACAGAAAUUUGUAGGCACUGCUCAUCAUUGGCUCUGGCAUGCUUAGGAAUAUCAAACAGAGUCAAAGAAAUGGCUUUAGCUUGGGAAGCUAAAGUCAUUCUCCCAAAUAUCUUAUAAUUAAAGAUUAUCUACAUCUAUCUAUCUAAUAUCUUACAUUACCACUGAUAUGGUGCCAAUAUUUUUUGUCCUGGCAUUAUACUCACAUUCUUCUAUUUACAACCCACAACAGUACUGCUUGAAUUUAUUCUGCUCCAUUGCUUCUUGCAGGGUUUUCUCAAGGGUAUACUUGGCUGAAGACCAGUAUUUCAGACUGGUCCUAAGAAAAUUGAUUACUUAAUAUUGCAGACUUACUAGACUUUCAAAUAGCUGCCCAGAUGUAGUUUAAGCAGUAUGGGAAUAAGAACAGUUUUUUGACACAUGUUUAUUAGUGGUGGUUUUAGGGUUAGGCUUCAUUCAUCUGAAAAGAAUGUGGUUUGCUAGCUCUGAGAUGGCACUGCAAUGAGGAACAAAGUGCACGUAAUGGGGAUAGGCUGUAAAUUUUUUCCAGAAGAGCACUCCUUACUCAAAGUAAAAUAUUAAUGUAUUCUACUUGCCACUAAAAUAUUUAAGCUGUUUUUAUUCGCCAGGACCCAAACCCAGGUAGUUAGGAUUUCUAUGUAAUAAGAAUAUGGAAUCUGAAAAUAGUGCCUGGCUUCAAAUUGCAUUUGCAGCACUAUGUAAUCACUUCACAGCCAUAACUUUAUAUCAGUGGCUCAAGGAUGCAAAUGAUCAUGAGGAGAGACUCAUCUUUAAAUGAGUAAAAACCUCUUAUCUUCUAGUUUUAUAGAAAUAGUAUGACAUAGUAAGAAAUGCUUCAUAUUAGGCGUCUUAUAAGACAUUGACUAGCAAGGUGAUUUCUCCUAAAGUAUGAGAAGAAUUUUGGCAGGAUUUGACAUGACCAUUAGGUAGCUACAGUGUCUAUAAGUGGCACAGAGAACAGAAGAGAGUGGCUGACCUGCUCUCUGUUUUUUAAAAGGAAACACUUAUUUCUCAACCACAUUACUAUUCGUAUUUAUUUCGGGUGCAGGUUCAGUAGCAUGGCAUUCCCUAGGUAAAGGGCUCUAGUACAGACCAGGUUUUGUUUUGUCAGGGGGAAAACAGUAAAACUUCUAUUGCCAAGAUGCUUUCAAAGCUGGAAAAGGAUUAUAUCAUAUACAAGGUUUUUGGAGGUAUAGCUAUACUACCAGAAAUCUCUAAUAUAAAUCUGUCCUUUAUCUGAGGAAAUAGACUAGAGGAAACAUUAAAAAAAUACUUACUGUGUAGCAAACUAAAACUAAGCCUAAAGAAAACCAUGUAUACAUAGUUCUAUUAUUCCAAUGCAGUUUCUUAACUUGAAGGUUUAUGCAAAUUGAGCAGCUUGCUGUCAGGUUGGGAUUACAGUUAAGAAUGUGUCAGUACUUCCAUUGUAACAAAACUUUGUGGUGUUUCUUGCUGAGAUGGAAAUGCCUGUCUUGCAUUGAGAAUUUUUAUACGAGCCCUGUCAGCCUUCUGGAAAUUAAAAAUGAAGCUGUGCAGAGAAUUUAAUAAAACUUACACUGCGUAUUUUUUCCAAAUGUCAUUUUUUCUUUAGAUACCUGCUACACCCUGUCCUCAUCAAAGGUGAUGAGCCUUACAGAGGGUAGCUACAGACCUGCAUUUUGUCUUAUGAACCAGCUACAUUAAGCAACAAUGAAGUGCUAAAGAACACUAACUGCGAAAUGCUGAGAUUCACUCUGUAAUAAGCUGGAGGACAACAUACAUCUGAUUAUCAUCAACAUAAGGUCCAGGUCAGCUUUGCCCAUGACGGUAACUGGUGAGUUAUCUUUCCCUCUCCUUAUCUUGAUCCAUGAGCCUUUUAUUAUAUUUCCUUUCCCUUUUUCAAGUGAAGAGUGGUGUGUUAGAGCAGCUUUGCUGGGUACCUGGCAUACAGCCAAGGUCAAUCACAAGGAUCUUCAGGAAACACAGGACAUUAGUAUCUUUUGCUACUCUGUGUUGUGGUGAUUACUACAUAAACUGUGCCUGUCUGACAUUUAAAUUCAGGAUUUCCCAAAUGGUAGCUUUCCUUGUUAUUGUGAAGAGAUGCUAUUAAUCAGGUGAGCUCUGGUGUUUUGCCAGCUUUCACAAGUCUAGCACACACCGAAGAGUCUGUCACCAAGAUGUCAUACACCUUUUUAAUUAUAAAAAUUGAUGCUGAUGUUGCAAAAAAAAAAAAAAAAAAAAAAAAAAAUCCUGAACACCUUCUUACGUAAAAAUUAAUCUAAGAAAUUAUUUAAUGAAGAGGUCAUAUUUUGACACACAGUUUGUGGCUACGUCACCAUCCAGAAUACUCCAAAUAAUUUUUUGCCAAGCAAAUUAAUAUAAGAUUUGGCAUCAACACAGGGCACCCAUCCAAAAACACUUCCACAGGCCGUAGAUGUGGAUGCUCUAAGAAAGAGUAAAUUGUCAUUUCAGAAUCACUCAAGUGAAGCCAAGGAAACAGAACCAGUCUGGUUGUCUGGCUUUUUCACUGACUUUCACUGACUUUGUAACAAUUUGCAAGUCCACCAUCCUACCAAGUUUUGUGAGAAAAUCUGGUAAAUUGAACUGUCUUGCUAACUUGUCCUUAUUUAAAUAAGUUUUAAGAUGACUGAAUCUAUAGCUACAGUAGAACCUGCUGAAGCAGAAACCUUUCUCAAGCUGAUAGUGGUGAUUCUGACGUAAUAAAACCCAGUCCUUUCUGUUUCUGUCUUCCACCUCUGUGAUUUUUCUCCAUUUUUUUUUUGUUAUUCCAAACCAAACAGCAAUCUUCUUUUUAAAAUUUACAUCUCUUAAAUUCUUCCAAUAGGAAUUUACUCCUAUUUGGCAGUCAUUUCUAAGGAUGAUUUUUUUCUUCUUUUAACACUAGUAAGAAAGGACAGGGACCCUAAGGUCAUUAUAUACUAAUGAGAUAGAUCCAGAGAUAUGACUGAAACGAGGACCAGUGUGACACAGCUGCCACCAAAAAAAAAAAUCUCUCACUUGAACAAAAUACACUGGGACAAUCUGGUAUCUCAAUUUCCAGUUGUGUUACCAUGGUUUUUAUACAAAGUCUGGAGAGAACAACAAGUAUAUUCUUUGUGAUGAUAAGUAAAAGAAAUAUUUGAAACAGGAUAAUAAAAUCAUGGGUGAUCUGUCAGAGACCAUUGUGACAGCUACAAGUAACUACUUAUACUUGCCUCUGAAACAAUCUAAAUGGUAAAUCAUUAUAUUCUAAACAUAUGGUCUAGCUAUUGAGUUUCCCCUGCCUUCCUGUUUAAUUUUGCUGAGGUAUAAAAAUGAUUUUGAGAAACAUGAGAGUAAGCCAGUUAAUGCAAAACAUUUUGCUGUUCUUAGUAACUCCUGUAAAGACAGCCUGGAAACCCAGUGUUGGGUAACACUGUACAUUUCAUUCAACAGAAUGGCCACAGCACUGUUUUAAUUGCAGCUGAUAACUCAGAUUCAGCAAGAUACCUGAUAUUAGUCAUGGCUGACAUGCUAAGUUUAUUUAAAGAGCUUUAAACUGACAGAGUUUGGAAGAAGGCUGGAAAGAUCCUGGAGUGAAAUUUGAAUUGUAAUUUCAGUUCCAAGCUUUAUCCAAAUACAUUUGACUCAAAUUAUCUAUGUCACGAAGCUAUCAAGUCCUUGAAAAACUUUGCAUGUAGAGACCAUGAGGUAAAAUUCUUAUGUCCUUGGGUAUACUAAAAAAUAAAUUAAGUUUUCAAAAUUAGACAUGUUAGUCCUCAGCAAACUAAUAUAAAUGCCUGUUCUGCAUGUAGAAAGUAACAAGACUUUCAGCUCUAUAUGUAAAUACUAAGUAAUUGAUUUCAAUACACAUGUCCACAUACAGGAUAUGAAGGUAUACUAUAAUGUGUCUGGUUAUACAUAACCUGAGUAUUUAAAAACUCCCCAUAUGUCAUUACAAUAAUUUAAAUGCAAUUUAAAAAAAUCUGCUUUGGAACAGCUGGCCUGCAGACAACAGCUCAUGGCAGCUGAGCUGCUCUAGUGAUCCUCUGCUAUUGAAAGGAGUCUUUCUUCCUAUGACUUUCUCUAUUUCCACCCAUUUUCUCUAGCUCACUCCAGGAGACCCUAUGCCCAGAGAUGAUUAAAUUUGUUGAUAUGGACAGAAAAAUUAUGUCAUUUUCUUUUUUGCUGGAUUAGUUCUCUGUUGGCUUGUUGAACUGAGCUCAACACUUGAGCACAAACACAGCAUCUGAGCAAAGUGCCAAGAAGACCAUGUUCCUAAUGCAGUGAAUAUAUUGACAGCUCUCAGGAUUCAAAUGCUGCUCACUGAUUCCUUGAAAUUUUGGCGGGUAUCCAUGCUGAACAGGAGGAUUAACAACACGCUUAAGAAAGUCCAACCCAACUAUGAAAUUCCAUCAAUGCAGAUCAACACAGGCCUUAUGAGUUUUAGAGCAAGAGGCCAGAAGGAACAUAGUCAUGCUGAUGGCUGGUCAGAGAGAGAGAAAAGACAAAGCCUUGGGAGAGCUGGAUGGCUCCCAGUCAAUGUUCCCUUACCAGAGAGCAGACAUGAAACUGGAUCUUAUGUCCCGUGCCUUGUAACAGUGAAGCCCCUAGGAAAAAUUAUUCCAUCCUGGGGCAUUUUGUUUUGAAUUACUGCUGGUGGUUUGUUUGGGGCACUGGAUGCAGAUGGUAUCAUCCCUGAAGUCCUAACUGGAAAAUAAAAACUUCCCCCUGCGCCACUGAUUUAGGAUUUGGCAGUGAACUUGGGACUGGUAAAUAUUUCAGGAAUCCAUGCAUAAGUUAGAAGUUUACUGAAGAGGACAUCAUGUUAAUGGAACUUUCUGCCGUAUUUUCUCUGUCUUAACACUUUUUUAUACUGCUGUCUUUUAUCCAAGGCAGUAGAGAUGAUAAAAUAGCAAGCAAACAGCUGAGUGGUCUCUGCCACCAUCAGGCACCCGGUGAAUCCCCACGCAUGAAUGUUAGAAGAUGAUCCCUUGCUUUGCAUUCAUGGUAAUGAGAAACAUGGAUAAUUUUCCUUUCACUUCUAUAUGGUAGUUUAAAAAAAAAAAAAAAAACUAAAAAAAAAAUUAAACUACCCAUUUUCAUGACUCUUACAGACUAAUUUCAUUUUCCUUUAGAGAUUACAUUUUUAAAAGCACAUAGAAGCUUUGAGAAACAAAGCUUUGCAAAAAAAUAUCCGAACUGGCAAGGCUGUGUACUGUAACAUACACUGAAUGCUAAUACUUUUUUACUUUUAUUGACAUUUCGUAUUUCAAUAUUGACUGUAUUUCCACAUAUGAAUAAAUUCAACAGAGAUUUUAUUAGAAACCUUCCCCAGGGGAUUCUGACUACUACAAUACAUUUUCAAUUCCUACCAAAGUAAAUCUAAUUACAACCUGCUCUUUUUGACUUCAGGUUCUAAAUAAUCAAAACAUAUUGUCCUUUUAUAAAGAAGGACUUACAUAGAGAAUGCUUGUAACUAAAUUGCUACUGACAGAAGAAAUGUAGUCCCAGAAAUCACUGGGAAAAUGCAGGAUUUCUCUAAUUCUCAUAGAUACAAGAUCUUUCCGAAGCAUUUCUCUCAGUACAGUGAAUGACCUAUAAAAAAGGCAAAUGCUGCAGAUAAAUCAGAUGGAAGAUGAACAAAAUCAGAGUCUUAAAAUUGCAAAAUAAUUGGCAAAUAUUUACAAAUUAUAUUUCAAUCUACAGAUUUUUUCUAGUGAUAAAUACUGAGCAAUCAAACCCCUUGUUAUUUGGAUGUGAAUGUUCAGAACAUUUAUUGCAAUUAAAAAAACUACCUGAUGACUGGAA